rnacentral:rRNA from 1 species
CAGCCGCCGCGGUAAUACGUAGGGUGAGAGCGUUAAUCGGAAUUACUGGGCGUAAAGCGUGCGCAGGCGGUUCGUUAAGACAGAUGUGAAAUCCCCGGGCUUAACCUGGGAACUGCGUUUGUGACUGGCGAGCUAGAGUAUGGCAGAGGGGGGUAGAAUUCCACGUGUAGCAGUGAAAUGCGUAGAUAUCGGAAGGAACACCAGUGGCGAAGGCGGCUACCUGGACUGAGACUGACACUGAGGCGCGAGAGCGUGGGGAGCAAACAGGAUUAGAUAUCCCCGUAGUCCCUGUCUCUUAUAC